GGUUAAGUUAGAAAGGGCGCACGGUGGAUGCCUUGGCACUAGGAGCCGAUGAAGGACGGGACGAACACCGAUAUGCUUCGGGGAGCUGUAAGCAAGCUUUGAUCCGGAGAUUUCCGAAUGGGGAAACCCACCACUCGUAAUGGAGUGGUAUCCAUAUCUGAAUACAUAGGAUAUGAGAAGGCAGACCCGGGGAACUGAAACAUCUAAGUACCCGGAGGAAGAGAAAGCAAAUGCGAUUCCCUGAGUAGCGGCGAGCGAAACGGGACCAGCCCAAACCAAGAGGCUUGCCUCUUGGGGUUGUAGGACACUCUGUACGGAGUUACAAAGGAACGAGGUAGAUGAAGAGGCCUGGAAAGGCCCGCCAUAGGAGGUAACAGCCCUGUAGUCAAAACUUCGUUCUCUCCUGAGUGGAUCCUGAGUACGGCGGAACACGUGAAAUUCCGUCGGAAUCCGGGAGGACCAUCUCCCAAGGCUAAAUACUCCCUAGUGACCGAUAGUGAACCAGUACCGUGAGGGAAAGGUGAAAAGCACCCCGGAAGGGGAGUGAAAGAGAUCCUGAAACCGUGUGCCUACAAGUAGUCAGAGCCCGUUAACGGGUGAUGGCGUGCCUUUUGUAGAAUGAACCGGCGAGUUACGAUCCCGUGCAAGGUUAAGCAGAAGAUGCGGAGCCGCAGCGAAAGCGAGUCUGAAUAGGGCGAAUUGAGUACGUGGUCGUAGACCCGAAACCAGGUGAUCUACCCAUGUCCAGGGUGAAGUUCAGGUAACACUGAAUGGAGGCCCGAACCCACGCACGUUGAAAAGUGCGGGGAUGAGGUGUGGGUAGGGGUGAAAUGCCAAUCGAACCUGGAGAUAGCUGGUUCUCUCCGAAAUAGCUUUAGGGCUAGCCUCAAGGUAAGAGUCUCGGAGGUAGAGCACUGAUUGGACUAGGGGCCCCUACCGGGUUACCGAAUUCAGUCAAACUCCGAAUGCCGAUGACUUAUCCUUGGGAGUCAGACUGCGAGUGAUAAGAUCCGUAGUCGAAAGGGAAACAGCCCAGACCGCCAGCUAAGGUCCCAAAGUAUACGUUAAGUGGAAAAGGAUGUGGAGUUGCUUAGACAACCAGGAUGUUGGCUUAGAAGCAGCCACCAUUUAAAGAGUGCGUAAUAGCUCACUGGUCGAGUGACUCUGCGCCGAAAAUGUACCGGGGCUAAACGUAUCACCGAAGCUGCGGACUGUUCUUCGAACAGUGGUAGGAGAGCGUUCUAAGGGCUGUGAAGCAAGACCGGAAGGACUUGUGGAGCGCUUAGAAGUGAGAAUGCCGGUAUGAGUAGCGAAAGAGGGGUGAGAAUCCCCUCCACCGAAUGCCUAAGGUUUCCUGAGGAAGGCUCGUCCGCUCAGGGUUAGUCGGGACCUAAGCCGAGGCCGAAAGGCGUAGGCGAUGGAUAACAGGUUGAUAUUCCUGUACCACCUCCUCACCAUUUGAGCAAUGGGGGGACGCAGGAGGAUAGGGUAAGCGCGGUAUUGGAUAUCCGCGUCCAAGCAGUUAGGCUGGGAAAUAGGCAAAUCCGUUUCCCGUGAAGGCUGAGCUGUGAUGGCGAGCGAAUUAUAGUAGCGAAGUUCCUGAUUCCACACUGCCAAGAAAAGCCUCUAGCGAGGUGAGAGGUGCCCGUACCGCAAACCGACACAGGUAGGCGAGGAGAGAAUCCUAAGGUGAUCGAGAGAACUCUCGUUAAGGAACUCGGCAAAAUGACCCCGUAACUUCGGGAGAAGGGGUGCUCUGUUAGGGUGCAAGCCCGAGAGAGCCGCAGUGAAUAGGCCCAGGCGACUGUUUAGCAAAAACACAGGUCUCUGCGAAGCCGUAAGGCGAAGUAUAGGGGCUGACGCCUGCCCGGUGCUGGAAGGUUAAGAGGAGCGCUUAGCGUAAGCGAAGGUGCGAAUUGAAGCCCCAGUAAACGGCGGCCGUAACUAUAACGGUCCUAAGGUAGCGAAAUUCCUUGUCGGGUAAGUUCCGACCCGCACGAAAGGCGCAACGAUCUGGGCACUGUCUCAACGAGAGACUCGGUGAAAUUAUAGUACCUGUGAAGAUGCAGGUUACCCGCGACAGGACGGAAAGACCCCGUGGAGCUUUACUGCAGCCUGAUAUUGAAUGUUGGUACAGCUUGUACAGGAUAGGUAGGAGCCUUGGAAACCGGAGCGCCAGCUUCGGUGGAGGCAUCGGUGGGAUACUACCCUGGCUGUAUUGACCUUCUAACCCGCCGCCCUUAUCGGGCGGGGAGACAGUGUCAGGUGGGCAGUUUGACUGGGGCGGUCGCCUCCUAAAAGGUAACGGAGGCGCCCAAAGGUUCCCUCAGAAUGGUUGGAAAUCAUUCGCAGAGUGUAAAGGCACAAGGGAGCUUGACUGCGAGACCUACAAGUCGAGCAGGGACGAAAGUCGGGCUUAGUGAUCCGGUGGUUCCGCAUGGAAGGGCCAUCGCUCAACGGAUAAAAGCUACCCCGGGGAUAACAGGCUUAUCUCCCCCAAGAGUCCACAUCGACGGGGAGGUUUGGCACCUCGAUGUCGGCUCAUCGCAUCCUGGGGCUGUAGUCGGUCCCAAGGGUUGGGCUGUUCGCCCAUUAAAGCGGUACGCGAGCUGGGUUCAGAACGUCGUGAGACAGUUCGGUCCCUAUCCGUCGCGGGCGCAGGAAAUUUGAGAGGAGCUGUCCUUAGUACGAGAGGACCGGGAUGGACGCACCGCUGGUGUACCAGUUGUUCUGCCAAGGGCAUCGCUGGGUAGCUAUGUGCGGACGGGAUAAGUGCUGAAAGCAUCUAAGCAUGAAGCCCCCCUCAAGAUGAGAUUUCCCAUUCCGCAAGGAAGUAAGAUCCCUGAAAGAUGAUCAGGUUGAUAGGUCUGAGGUGGAAGUGUGGUGACACAUGGAGCUGACAGAUACUAAUCGAUCGAGGACUUAACCAA
rnacentral:rRNA from 1 species